rnacentral:rRNA from 1 species
GAUGAACGCUAGCGGCAGGCCUAACACAUGCAAGUCGAGGGAGAAGCCCUUUCGGGGGCAGAAACCGGCGCACGGGUGCGUAACGCGUAUGCAACCUACCUUUCACAGGGGGAUAGCCCGAAGAAAUUUGGAUUAAUACCCCAUAAUAUUAUUGUAUGGCAUCAUUUGAUAAUUAAAACUGCGGUGGUGAAAGAUGGGCAUGCGUCCUAUUAGCUAGUUGGAGUGGUAACGGCACCCCAAGGCUACGAUAGGUAGGGUUCCUGAGAGGGAGAUCCCCCACAUGGGAACUGAGACAGGGACCAGACUACUACGGGAGGCAGCAGUGUGGAAUAUUAGGCAAUGGUCGGAAGACUGAACCAGCCAUGCCGAGUGCAGGAAGAAUGCCUUAUGGGUUGUAAACUGCUUUUAUAUGGGAAGAAUAAGGCGUACGUGUACGUUGAUGACGGUACCAUAUGAAUAAGCAUCGGCUAACUCCGUG